GCCUUCUUAGCUCAGUGGUAGAGCGUUGGUCUCGUAUUCAACUAAAGUUAAUCAAAGGCCGAGAGUUCAAUCCUCUCAGGAGGCA
rnacentral:tRNA from 1 species